rnacentral:rRNA from 1 species
AGAGUUUGAUCCUGGCUCAGGAUGAGCGCUAGCUACAGGCUUAACACAUGCAAGUCGAGGGGAAACGAUAUUGGAAGCUUGCUUCCGAUAGGCGUCGACCGGCGCACGGGUGAGUAACGCGUAUCCAACCUGCCCACCACUUGGGGAUAACCUUGCGAAAGUAAGACUAAUACCCAAUGACGUCUCUAGAAGACAUCUGAAGGAGAUUAAAGAUUUAUCGGUGAUGGAUGGGGAUGCGUCUGAUUAGCUUGUUGGCGGGGUAACGGCCCACCAAGGCAACGAUCAGUAGGGGUUCUGAGAGGAAGGUCCCCCACAUUGGAACUGAGACACGGUCCAAACUCCUACGGGAGGCAGCAGUGAGGAAUAUUGGUCAAUGGGCGAGAGCCUGAACCAGCCAAGUAGCGUGCAGGAAGACGGCCCUAUGGGUUGUAAACUGCUUUUAUAAGGGAAUAAAGUUAGUCUCGUGAGACUUUUUGCAUGUACCUUAUGAAUAAGGACCGGCUAAUUCCGUGCCAGCAGCCGCGGUAAUACGGAAGGUCCGGGCGUUAUCCGGAUUUAUUGGGUUUAAAGGGAGCGUAGGCCGGAGAUUAAGCGUGUUGUGAAAUGUAGACGCUCAACGUCUGCACUGCAGCGCGAACUGGUUUCCUUGAGUACGCACAAAGUGGGCGGAAUUCGUGGUGUAGCGGUGAAAUGCUUAGAUAUCACGAAGAACUCCGAUUGCGAAGGCAGCUCACUGGAGCGCAACUGACGCUGAAGCUCGAAAGUGCGGGUAUCGAACAGGAUUAGAUACCCUGGUAGUCCGCACGGUAAACGAUGGAUGCCCGCUGUUGGUCUGAACAGGUCAGCGGCCAAGCGAAAGCAUUAAGCAUCCCACCUGGGGGGUACGCCGGCAACGGUGAAACUCAAAGGAAUUGACGGGGGCCCGCACAAGCGGAGGAACAUGUGGUUUAAUUCGACGCAACGCGAAGAACCUUACCAAGUCUUGACAUCCCUUGACGAUGCUGGAAACAGUAUUUCUCUUCGGAGCAAGGAGACAGGUGGUGCAUGGUUGUCGUCAGCUCGUGUCGUGAGAUGUUGGGUUAAGUCCCGCAACGAGCGCAACCCUUAUGGUCAGUUACUACGCAAGAGGACUCUGGCCAGACUGCCGUUGACAAAACGGAGGAAGGUGGGGAUGACGUCAAAUCAUCAUGCCCUUUAUGACUUGGGCUACACACGUACUACAAUGGCGUUAAACAAAGAGAAGCAAGACCGCGAGGUGGAGCAAAACUCAGAAACAACGUCCCAGUUCGGACUGCAGGCUGCAACUCGCCUGCACGAAGUCGGAAUUGCUAGUAAUCGUGGAUCAGCAUGCCACGGUGAAUACGUUCCCGGGCCUUGUACACACCGCCCGUCACACCAUGAGAGCCGGGGGGACCCGAAGUCGGUAGUCUAACCGCAAGGAGGACGCCGCCGAAGGUAAAACUGGUGAUUGGGGUGAAGUCGUAACAAGGUA